rnacentral:snRNA from 2 species
AUGCCUUUCUCGGCCUCUUGGCUAAAAUCAAGUGUAGUAUCUGUUCUUAUCAGUUUAAUAUCUGAUACGUGUAUCUACGGGUUCAUGAGAUAUUAAGUUAUUUUUUUUGUGGGGAGAAUUUAUCUGUGUAGCUCGCUACAUGGAUGGUUUUCAUGUGCCGGUCAAGUGUUGCACUAUUGCUUGGAACCGGCACACCCCAA